UACGUAGGUGGCAAGCGUUGUCCGGAUUUACUGGGCGUAAAGGGCGCGUAGGCGGUCGUGUGCGUCAGAGGUGAAAUCCCCGGGCUUAACCCGGGAGCUGCCUCUGAUACGGCAUGGCUUGAGUCCGGGAGAGGAGAGCAGAAUUCCCAGUGUAGCGGUGAAAUGCGUAGAUAUUGGGAGGAAUACCGGUGGCGAAGGCGGCUCUCUGGACCGGUACUGACGCUGAUGCGCGAAAGCGUGGGUAGCAAACAGG
rnacentral:rRNA from 1 species